rnacentral:rRNA from 1 species
AAGUGUUUAAAGCAAGCUAACGCUUGAAUACAUUAGCAUGGAAUAAUGAAAUAGGACGUUCGAUCCUAUUUUGUUGGUUUCUUAGGAUUGACGUAAUGAUUAAUAGGGAUAGUUGGGGGCAUUAGUAUUCAAUUGUCAGAGGUGAAAUUCUUGGAUUUAUUGAAGACUAACUACUGCGAAAAGCAUUUGCCAAGGAUGUUUUCAUUAAUCAAGAACGAAAGUUAGGGGAUCGAAGACGAUCAGAUACCGUCGUAGUCUUAACCAUAAACUAUGCCGACUAGGGAUCGGAUGAUGUUAAUUUUUAAUGACUCAUUCGGCGCCUUACG